rnacentral:rRNA from 1 species
UGGUUAUAAUAGCAGAGAGGAUACACCUGUUCCCAUUCCGAACACAGAAGUUAAGCUCUCUAGCGCUGAUGGUACUUGGU